rnacentral:lncRNA from 1 species
CUCCUCCUAAUACUUUCACAUUUCGCAGAAUCAAUUACUUACCAUGGUAAGAGCUUUCUUAUAUAUACUAUAGAACAAGAGUAGUGCAACAUGCACAAAAUUGGGUACAGAAUUUUGCACAAAAUGGCGUGGCAACUGAGGUGGAUAGUUUUAAUUGGUGCUAUUAAUGCAUAUACAGGGGGCCAUUCCAAUCAAAUGUUAACACAUACUCAUUAUGUGAAUAUUUUUGUAAUCAAUUUUGUGCAACUAGCAUUUUCCAUAAAACAAAGCACUUAUAUACACAAGGAAAAGGAUUAUCUCACCGUGAGCAAGUGAUUGGCGUGUCCUUUCUCAAUUUCAUUUGUUCGCAACAAUUUCAGCAGUUCGUCGAGCACAUCUGCACUAAGACUGUUGUCAGCUCCCAACUUCUUCAGCUCCAAACGCUCGUUCACCAUACCAUCAAACAACUUGAUCAACUUUCCAAAAUAAACACUUGAUCGUCGUUUGAUACCUUGAGGAUCGAAAGCCCUAAGAAUAGGAAAAUAAUCCACAAAAUUCGGCGUACCUGCCUCCUUCAUAAUGUUCCACACCGUGUCCUUAAACUCCUUAGUGUCACUACCAUGAUACGGAUCUACCAUAUCCUUGGAAAACAUGGUAUUAGACAAAAGAUUAAGCGCAGUCUGAAAAGCAGCACAACCAAUAUCUACAGCCUCCCCUCUUUCGCUACACUUAGUAACGUAUCCAACAAGCUCCUGCACCUUAUUCGUUCGAAGAUGAUGAUUAGCAUCCAGCUUGCUAGUUGUAAAAAUAUAAGAGCUCAUAAUUUUUCUUAGAUUCCUCCACUGAUUUCCAACAGGCAACCAUGCAACCGAGAACUUGAAAUGGUCUUGGGCACGUAUAGCAUCGGGAUNCAAUACCGUUUCCGGAUUUCUUAAUACCUCAGCCAUCGUCCAUUCCACUGUACUUGAAGUCGUAUCUGUUCCUGCAGCGAACAAAUCCUGCCCAAGUAAAUAAUUGUUAGAAUACUAUAUGAUACUGAUAAGCACUCCUCCUAAUACUUUCACAUUUCGCAGAAUCAAUUACUUACCAUGGUAAGAGCUUUCUUAUAUAUACUAUAGAACAAGAGUAGUGCAACAUGCACAAAAUUGGGUACAGAAUUUUGCACAAAAUGGCGUGGCAACUGAGGUGGAUAGUUUUAAUUGGUGCUAUUAAUGCAUAUACAGGGGGCCAUUCCAAUCAAAUGUUAACACAUACUCAUUAUGUGAAUAUUUUUGUAAUCAAUUUUGUGCAACUAGCAUUUUCCAUAAAACAAAGCACUUAUAUACACAAGGAAAAGGAUUAUCUCACCGU